CCCGCAGCGAUACUGACGUGCAAAG
rnacentral:misc_RNA from 1 species